UACAGAGGUCCCAAGCGUUGUUCGGAUUCACUGGGCGUAAAGGGUGCGUAGGUGGUCGGGUAAGUCUGAUGUGAAAGCCCCCGGCUCAACCGGGGAACGGCGCGGGAAACUAGCAGGCUUGAGUUCGGGAGAGGGAAGCGGAAUUCCGGGUGUAGCGGUGAAAUGCGCAGAUAUCCGGAGGAACACCGGUGGCGAAGGCGGCUUCCUGGACCGACACUGACGCUGAGGCGCGAAAGCGUGGGGAGCGAACAGG
rnacentral:rRNA from 1 species